CAAGGAAUUGACGGGACCGCACAAGCGUGGAUGAUGUGGAUUAAUUCGAUGCAACGCGAAAACCUUACCUACCCUUGACAUGUCCGGAACCCCGAAGAGAUUUGGGAGUGCUCGCAAGAGAACCGGAACACAGGUGCUGCAUGGCUGUCGUCAGCUCGUGUCGUGAGAUGUUGGGUUAAGUCCCGCAACGAGCGCAACCCUUGUCAUUAGUUGCCAUCAUUUGGUUGGGGCACUCUAAUGAGACUGCCGGUGACAAACCGGAGGAAGGUGGGGAUGACGUCAAGUCCUCAUGGCCCUUAUGGGUAGGGCUUCACACGUCAUACAAUGGUCGGUACAGAGGGUUGCCAACCCGCGAGGGGGAGCUAAUCCCACAAAGCCGAUCGUAGUCCGGAUCGCAGUCUGCAACCCGACUGCGUGAAGUCGGAAUCGCUAGUAAUCGUGGAUCAGCAUGUCACGGUGAAUACGUUCCCGGGUCUU
rnacentral:rRNA from 1 species